rnacentral:rRNA from 1 species
CCUACGGGUGGCAGCAGUGAGGAAUAUUGGUCAAUGGGCGCGAGCCUGAACCAGCCAAGUAGCGUGAAGGAUGACUGCCCUACGGGUUGUAAACUUCUUUUAUAAAGGAAUAAAGUGAGGCACGUGUGCCUUUUUGUAUGUAUUUUAUGAAUAAGGAUCGGCUAACUCCGUGCCAGCAGCCGCGGUAAUACGGAGGAUCCGAGCGUUAUCCGGAUUUAUUGGGUUUAAAGGGAGCGUAGAUGGGUUGUUAAGUCAGUUGUGAAAGUUUGCGGCUCAACCGUAAAAUUGCAAUUGAUACUGGCCGCGUGUAGUACAGGUGAGGUAGACUGAAAUCGUAGUGGAGCGGUGAAA